rnacentral:rRNA from 1 species
GACGAAGGGGGCUAGCGUUGUUCGGAAUUACUGGGCGUAAAGCGCGUGUAGGCGGUUAUCCAAGUCAGGUGUGAAAGCCUUGAGCUCAACUCAAGAAAUGCACUUGGUACUGGGUGACUAGAGGACCGGAGAGGAUAGUGGAAUUCCAGUGUAGUGGUGAAAUACGUAGAGAUUGGGAAGAACACCAGUGGCGAAGGCGGCUAUCUGGGACGGUUC